AAGCUGCUAGGUGAUUCUGAUGCAGCCUAAAGUUUGGGAACUACUGGUGUUUGCUAAUAGAGUGGUUCUCAACAUUGUCUGAACACUGGAAUCACUUGGAGAACUUUAAAAAUGAAUACUCAUGUCUGGUUCCCACUUCUGUGGAUUCUAAUUUAAUUGGCCUGACCUCUGGCCUGAUCAUUGACGUUGCAAAACCUCUCCAGGGGAUUCUAAUAUGCAAACAAGCAUGGGCCCCACCCACCGUGCUAAGUCAAUCUACUCUCUUACAAGGGGCAAAUUUCAAAAAGGCAAAGCAGGAGAUAGUGUUGCCAGAAAACAAAGCAAAAUAGGAGUUUGGGUGAAAGGCAGAUAGAAGGAGUUAUAUAUACAGAAUGCUUUCUUUCUGCUUUAUGUAAAGGCAUCCGACUCAGUCUCCAGAACCUUUUCAACUGAUGUUUAGUUCUCCAGAUUUUUCAAAAGGCCUUGAUGAAAUUUCACAGCACAAUUGAUGGAUUCAAUUGUGGCUGGGGUUGGAGAUGCUUGUGAAGGAAGAAUCAAGAAUGUGUGAUGAUGAAGAGGAAAUUGCAUUAGAAAGAAAGGCAUACGUGGGCACUUCUCUGGUUAGUAUAGUUGAUGGGAUCCCAUGGUGCUGUCCAGUAGUGAUAUUUGCCGGAAGAAUCAAGUAAUGUUGAAGAGCUGCUACCCAGCUGGGCCGCCUAAACAAGGUGGUUGUGCUCCAGGAGAAGGGGACAGAGAGAGAGAAUGAAGAGUAGAAUCUGAGUCGGGCAGCAGGCAUCAGGCCUGGAGCAGAGCCCAACACAGGUCUUGAACAUGACCCUGAGAUCAAAACCUGAGCAGAGAUCAAGGGUCAAACAUUUACCAGACUGAACCACCCAGGCACCCCAUUCAUGGCUCUUCUUGACUGACAUCCUCUGCGUUCUCAUUUUUACGUUUAAGAUGUUUAUUUUUCUAAGCUGGCAUUUUAAAAAAAUGCUAAAAACUGGCUGCCCAUUUUCAUAGACUGGAAAUCUGGUUAUUACGGAGCUCUAAAAGUAGAAUUAAGUUACCGGUGGAGAUGGGUGAAAUAGGGGAAUGGAAUUAAAAGUACGCCUAUCAUGAUGAGCACUGAGUAAUAUAUUAGAAUUGUUGAGUCACUAUAUGGUACACCUGAAACUAAUAUAACCCUGUAUGUUAACUAAUUGGAAUUUAAAAAACUUAAUAAAAAUACAUUU